GGCCCGCUAGCUCAAUUUGGCAGAGCAGGGGCCUCUUAAGCCCUUUGUUACAGGUUCAAGUCCUGUGCGGGUCACCA
rnacentral:tRNA from 1 species